rnacentral:rRNA from 1 species
UACGAAGGGGGCUAGCGUUGCUCGGAAUCACUGGGCGUAAAGGGCGCGUAGGCGGCGUUUUAAGUCGGGGGUGAAAGCCUGUGGCUCAACCACAGAAUGGCCUUCGAUACUGGGACGCUUGAGUAUGGUAGAGGUUGGUGGAACUGCGAGUGUAGAGGUGAAAAUUCGUAGAUAUUCGCAAGAACACCGGUGGCGAAGGCGGCCAACUGGACCAUUACUGACGCUGAGGCGCGAAAGCGUGGGGAGCAAACAGG